GUGGGUCACUCUCUGCUCACUUGGACGUGCCUGCAACCUGAUUCACCUGGGAGCCAGGCGAGCGAGGCUCCACCCAAGGCAGAGCGGGGAUUCAGCCAGCAAGGACCUGUGUGAGUUAUUCCCAGAUGUUAUUAUGUGAAGGAAAUCCCAGUGAAAACAUGUUGGCCUUCACAGUUUGUGGUCAGAGCUAUCCCCUACACUGUUGUUUCAGCCUUUAUCUCACACCAGUUUAAUUCAUUAAGUAUUUGUGGACCUUUUCUGUUCUACCUUUUCAAAAAUAAUAUCAAACAGGAAGCUUUUACUUUCAGUUUCACUAUUGCUGUAUACACAAAUGCAUCACCAACGCUUUAUUAGAGUAGGUUUAACUUCUCCUGACCCAAUUUCUUUUGCACUCCAGAGUCAAUAUUACCUGGAAUUACUGAUUUUAAAACUAUUCCUAAUGGAAUAAAGAGGCCUGCAUCCUUCCACUUGAGAAUUAAU